UGUAGCUGUGGCUCAAGUGGUAGAGUGCUAGCCUCAAGCAAAGGAGAGCGGUGACAGCACCUCAGAUGUGAGUUCAAUCCCUAGGACCAACACAAAAAAAAAAACAAAAAUUUUUUCAGCUAUGAGCUUAUCUGAGAAAGUCUUUCAUGCAUGGUAGUAAUAUGCUAGUUAAAUUUUACUCCAUCUAAUCUUAAUCAGUGAUAGAAAUUGAAUUUACAUAGAUUUGCAUAAAUAAUUCAGCUAUCUGUUCUGCUCUAAUAUAUUUAAAGUGAAUAAAAUAAUUUGGGCAGAAUAAAAAUGAUGAGGCUACUUUACAGUUGUCAUUUCCUGAUUUCCCUCAUUUUCCUUUCUUGUCCAAAGCGAAAGAAGAAACAAAGGGAGAGCACACAUCUGAGGAUAUCUACAUUCAAGCCCUGAACCAUUCCACCAUCACUACCAGUUAAUUCAGCAUUCUCAACAGGGGGCAACUCUGCCUGCCAGGAAAAGAGAGCAUAUUGGUAUCUAGUGGGUACCAAACAAUGCUUCUUAAUAAUAUGAUCUAACAAUGAAACAGAAGAGAAAAAACUCAUAAAAAUUAAGCAGACGCUGGACAUGGUGUAUUCCUAUAGCUUCAGCAGUCAGGAUACUAAGGAAGGAGGAUUGUGAGAUCGAGACCAGCAUGGCUACAUAAUGAGACCCUGUGUCAAGGGGGGCAGGGGGGAGGCAUAAAAAUAAAUUUAAA